GUGUGUAGGCGGUUGUUUAAGUUUGGUGUGAAAUCUCCCGGCUCAACUGGGAGGGUGCGCCGAAUACUGAAUGACUUCGAGUGCGGGAGAGGAAAGUGGAAUUCCUGGUGUAGCGGUGAAAUGCGUAGAUAUCAGGAGGAACACCGGUGGUGUAGACGGCUUUCUGGACCGUAACUGACGCUGAGACACGAAAGCGUGGGUAGCAAACAGGAUUAGAUACCCUGGUAGUCCACGCCCUAAACGAUGCAUAUUUGGUGUGGGCAGUUCAUUCUGUCCGUGCCGGAGCUAACGCGUUAAAUAUGCCGCCUGGGGAGUACAGUCGCAAGGCUGAAACUCAAAGGAAUUGACGGGGGCCCGCACAAGCGGUGGAGCAUGUGGUUCAAUUCGACGCAACGCGAAGAACCUUACCUAGGCUCGAACGGCUGGUCAACGACGGUGGAAACAUCGUUACCCCGCAAGGGGGUCCAGUCGAGGUGCUGCAUGGCUGUCGUCAGCUCGUGUCGUGAGAUGUUGGGUUAAGUCCCGCAACGAGCGCAACCCUUGUCCUGUGUU
rnacentral:rRNA from 1 species